AGUGCUAGCUCACCUGUCUCUAGGUUCCCUCCUAAAGCCUGGCCUGCUGGGAAGGCCCAAAGGCACACAAGGUGGCUGGUUGUACACACAGCCUCCAUCUUCAUCCUCAUCCUCAUCCUCCAUCUUCCAUCCUCUGUCCUCAUCCUCAUCCUCCAUCCUCAUCCUCCAUCCUCAUCCUCCAUCCUCCAUCCUCAUCCUCCAUCCUCAUCCUCAUCCUCAUCCUCAUCCUCCAUCCUCAUCCUCAUCCUCAUCCUCCAUCCUCAUCCUCCAUCCUCAUCCUCCAUCCUCAUCCUCAUCCUCAUCCUCAUCCUCCAUCCUCAUCCUCACCUCAUCCUCAUCCUCCAUCCUCAUCCUCAUCCUCCAUCCUCAUCCUCCAUCCUCAUCCUCCAUCCUCAUCCUCAUCCUCCAUCCUCAUCCUCAUCCUCAUCCUCAUCCUCCAUCCUCAUCCUCAUCCUCCAUCCUCAUCCUCCAUCCUCAUCCUCAUCCUCAUCCUCAUCCUCCAUCCUCAUCCUCACCUCAUCCUCAUCCUCCAUCCUCAUCCUCAUCCUCCAUCCUCAUCCUCCAUCCUCAUCCUCCAUCCUCAUCCUCAUCCUCCAUCCUCAUCCUCAUCCUCAUCCUCAUCCUCCAUCCUCAUCCUCAUCCUCAUCCUCCAUCCUCAUCCUCCAUCCUCAUCCAUCCUCAUCCUCAUCCUCAUCCUCUAUCCUCAUCCUCACCUCAUCCUCAUCCUCCAUCCUCAUCCUCAUCCUCAUCCUCAUCCUCCAUCCUCAUCCUCAUCCUCCAUCCUCAUCCUCCAUCCUCAUCCUUCUUCCUCAUCCUCCAUCCUCAUCCUCCAUCCUCAUCCUCAUCCUCAUCCUCCAUCCUCAUCCUCCAUCCUCAUCCUCAUCCUCCAUCCUCAUCCUCAUCCUCAUCCUCCAUCCUCAUCCUCAUCCUCAUCCUCCAUCCUCAUCCUCAUCCUCCAUCCUCAUCCUCCAUCCUCAUCCUCAUCCUCAUCCUCCAUCUUCAUCCUCCAUCCUCAUCCUCAUCCUCAUCCUCAUCCUCCAUCCUCAUCCUCCAUCCUCAU
rnacentral:lncRNA from 1 species